AGAGUUUGAUCCGGCUCAGAAUUAAUGCUGGCGGUGUGCCUAACACAUGCAAGUCGAGCGAGAAAUCUUGAUUUAUAUCGGGAGAGUAGAGCGGCGAACGGGUGAGUAACACGUAGGUAAUCUGCCUUAGAGUGAGGGAUAACCUGCCGAAAGGUGGGCUAAUACCGCAUAAUUAUGGGGGGACAUAAGUCAUUCCCAUUUAAAGUCUUCGGACGCUCUAAGAGGAGCCUGCGCACUAUCAGUUUGUUGGUGGGGUAAUGGCCUACCAAGACUAUGACGGUUAGCUGGUCUGAGAGGACGACCAGUCACAAUGGAACUGAGAUACGGUCCAUACUCCUACGGGAGGCAGCAGUGAGGAAUUUUCCGCAAUGGCCUAACGGCUGACGGAGCGACACCGCGUGAAGGAUGAAGCUUUUCGGAGUGUAAACUUCUUUUCUGAUGGAACAAGUUCUGAGUUUACAUCAGGAAUAAGCCCCGGCUAACUACGUGCCAGCAGCCGCGGUAAUACGUAGGGGGCAAGCAUUAUUCGGAAUUAUUGGGCGUAAAGGGUCCGUAGGCGGUAAGUUAAGUCAAGUGUUAAAUUCUGAAGCUCAACUUCAGAGCUGCAUCUGAAACUGGCUUACUAGAGAAUCGUAGAGGCAAGUAGAAUUCCCGGUGUAGGGGUAAAAUCCGUAGAUAUCGGGAGGAAUACCAAAAGCGAAAGCAGCUUGCUGGGAUGAUUCUGACGCUGAGGGACGAAAGCGUGGGUAGCGAACGGGAUUAGAUACCCCGGUAGUCCACGCCCUAAACGAUGGAUACUAGGUGUUGGGAGAAUCGAUCCUUCCAGUGCCGACGCUAACGCAUUAAGUAUCCCGCCUGGGGACUACGAGCGCAAGCUUAAAACUCAAAGGAAUAGACGGGGACCCACACAAGCGGUGGAGCAUGUUGUUUAAUUCGAUAGUAAGCGAGGAACCUUACCAAGGCUUGACAUCCUAGGAAUCCCGAAGAAAUUUGGGAGUGCUCUUUGAGAACCUAGUGACAGGUGCUGCAUGGUUGUCGUCAGCUCGUGCCUUGAGGUGUUCGGUUAAGUCCGUAAACGAGCGCAACCCUUGUCUUAAGUUACAUAUUUCUUAAGAGACUGCCCUUGUUAAGAGGGAGGAAGGUGAGGAUGACGUCAAAUCAGCAUGGCCCUUAUGCCUUGGGCUACAAACGUGCUACAAUGGGGUAUACAACGGGUAGCCAACUCGUAAGAGGGAGCCAAUCCUAUCAAAGUACCUCCAAGUUCGAAUUGAGGUCUGCAACUCGACCUCAUGAAGUCGGAAUCGCUAGUAAUCGUGAAUCAGCAAUGUCGCGGUGAAUAUGUUCCUGGGUCUUGUACUCACCGCCCGUCACGUCCUGGAAGUCGGGAACACCCGAAGUCCCUCAUUGGAGGGCCUAAGGUGAAUUCGAUGACUGAGACGAAGUCGUAACAAGGCA
rnacentral:rRNA from 1 species